rnacentral:rRNA from 1 species
UACGUAGGGGGCAAGCGUUGUCCGGAAUCAUUGGGCGUAAAGCGCGCGUAGGCGGCCCGAUAAGUCCGCUGUAAAAGUCCAGGGCUCAACCCUGGGAUGCCGGUCGAUACUGCCGGACUAGAGUUCGGAAGAGGCGAGUGGAAUUCCUGGUGUAGCGGUGAAAUGCGCAGAUAUCAGGAGGAACACCGGUGGCGAAGGCGGGUCUCUGGGCCGAAAUUGACGCUGAGGAGCGAAAGCGUGGGGAGCAAACAGG